AUUUAUAUGGUAUUUGAUUUAUGAGAAGAAAUUUACAGUCCAAACAUAUCCAUUUGAUCGUUAGGAUUUAAAUUCUCUAUUCCUUGGAAACAAGUAGGAGGUAGUCAAUGAUCUGAGAGAGUUUUGGGCGGGCCAGAAGAUUUAAAAUGCAAAUCGGUCAGUAGGAAGGAAGAAGAAGAAGAGGGUGGUUCGGAAAAGAAGAUGGCGGUGGAUACGAAUUUCGCAUUGUUGUUUGAGAAGCUGAAGGUGGAAGAUCCAUGGCUUCCUCCGAGGACUUGGGAAUCCAUCCCUUCCGAAAGCGGACGCCGAGGAUCGCUCUCUCCUUCCCAUUUCUCCUCUUCCUCUCACCCCCUAUACGACGCCUCCAUCGUCUCCGAGGAAAGUUUGGUGAGGUUGGCAAUGUUUGCACUGCAAGGUGUACAAUCAGCACUUAUUAGUAUCAAAAAGCUUUCUGCUGCCUUUUGUUCUGAACCAGCCGAUAGGACCAUCCAUCGAAUUCCAAGUCUGUGGAACAGGUCUUCAAGCACUCACGCUUUGGGAAAGAUUCUGAACUCCAUAGGCUGUUCGGGUUCUAUAGUUUUUCUUCUCCAUAACUUUGUAGACUAUUUUACACAAUCAAAAUUGGAUGAGAGUUUGAUGGCAAAGAGGGGUGAAAAUUCUAAACCUGCAGAAAGUCAAAAUCAUCAUGACAGUAAAGAGCAUGACAAAAACUGCCCUCCAUACAGUCUUGUUAAUCAUGCAUUUGCUGUUGCUGUUGGGAAGGUUUUACAAGGGUACUUAUGCGCACUGGACACAUUAUAUGCAUCAGUAGGUUUCAGGCGAUCAUCAAGGAGUGUUGGCAUGCCUUUGCAGGAAUCGUCUAUGGUAGGAUGUUUGACGAGUGUAGUGCAUUCUGAAAUUACACUAUUGGAGUUGUACCUGCACACGAAGGAGUUGAGGAAUCAGAUUGAAGCUCUUGGAAAUAUUUGCAACCUACAUAAUGUAGCUUGUUGCUUCUUGGCAUCAUCUUUUGAGGAUGUAAUUGCUAAAGCAACCUUUGAAUUUUAUAACUUCUGCAGAGGAGGGGAUCUACUCACAUAUUUGUAUAAACUACUACAGGUUGCUGAUCCUGCUCACCAUGCUGUACUCAAGUUUCUCUUUCUUCGGUCAUGUGAACCAUACUGUGGGUUUAUCAGAUCAUGGAUAUUCAAAGCUGAGAUUAGUGAUCCUUAUAAGGAGUUUAUAGUAGAACAUGCUAACAACCAACUGCCUAAUCCACAUGGUAAAGCUGGCAUAUGUGUAGACUUCCCAUUGCCAAGUAUCAGGGAGCGAGAUGGAGUUGCUAUUCCUUGUUUUCUAAAGGAGUUCUUGAUUCCACUUGUCAGAGCUGGUCAGCAGCUUCAAGUGAUAAUGAAAUUGCUUGAAUUAUAUAUUUAUGUUGCCCCUGGGGACCAUACUUACAAAGAUUUUCUUCCAUGCUGGAGUGGUUUUUCAAGCGUUUAUCCAUCUUAUUCAUCUCCAGUGACUUUCAGCAAAGUAAAUAUAGAAGCCAUGGUACUGGCGAGAGACAGUUACUACAAAAUGAUGCAAAAGAAACUCGAAUAUCUUUUGACAAAAUUAGAGUUUAGAUAUGAACAGGUAGUUCCACAUUACACUGAACCUGUGUACUUUGAUAAUGAUAGAGGGUGUUCAAACAAUCCAGUUCAAUUCACGUUGGAUGAAAGAUUGGUAUCUCCUUCAGCUGCAGAUAAAAGAAGCUUAAAUGUUGCUGUUAGUAACGUGGACUGUGAUGACUCAAGUUCAAUGGAUGAGUUCUCUUGUGUGAUGGAUACAUACGAGUCAUCUGAAUGUUCUUCCACAAACUGCUCUGAAGAGCAAAUUGAGCCUGAGCAGCUGGUUGAGCCUCCUAAUCAUAUGACUGGGCUUGAAACUAAGUAUUUAUCUACUUUAAGCUUCUCUGUGAGUACUUCCAUGGAUAUUUCUUUGCAAAUGCCUCGUCAAUUUAAAAAGUCAUGUCAUAUAGCAAGUGAUUCACAUGGAACUCAUGAAAUAACAGACUGCCUUCGUCAUGAUGUGCAUUCUCAUUAUAAGGGAAUGUUUUUAAGCGACGAUUCUAUGCUGCAUGAAUCAAGAGAGUCACACUGGUCUUGUACAUCUGAUAUUCAACAUACAGAUACAUUACCAGAUAAAACCUGGCCACCAGGUCAACCCCAGAAACAAUCGUUUAAUGUUUUUGAAGGAUACAAGGAUAACUCAAGGUCACAUCCUGCGGACUCUCUUAAGCUGUGGAAAAGAAAUGUCGGAGUCAUAAAGGAAGGUACAUCGUAUUUUAGCAAAACUCUUGCCACUCUCAAUGCUUCACUGGAAGAAGCCUCUGGCAAGGGCCAACAAGAAAAUCCAACGUACUCUCCAUAUUCAUACGCAUUACAACAGUGGAAGCCUAACUACCAUAGCAAUUUUCUUAGUAUGAACCCAAUGUUGACAAAUUAUGCUUUCCUCCACUCAAUGACCAAGCUCGGGGAGAGAUGCAGUACAGACUAUGGGUGUUCUCUGCCAUACUUUGACUUUACUUCUGUAGAAGACCCUUGUAAGUUAUCUGUGGAACAGUUAGCAGCUGGUUCUGGGCAUGAGUUUGGAUCUGAGAUUCUGUUACGCGUAGAUUCUCAUGCUUCUUCUACCAGUAGUAAGAGCGAUCAUCAUGGUAAACAAGGCCAUGAUGGAGACCAUGUUUUGAUUGAUAAUACCAAAGUGUGUCAUGUUAAUUCACCAUCAGACUUGAAGGACCACAACCAAGAAGUUACGAAAAAUGUUUCUGGUGGUAGUAACUGGGAGACUUUGCUUGGUACUACCAGUGAAACCGUUGAUAAUAGUGUUGGAGGUCACGGGCAGAGUUUGUCGGCCAUGUUUGAUAUACCACUUGAUUUCAUCAUUGAAAAAUGUCUACUGCAGGAAAUCAUGCUUCAAUAUAAGUACGUCAGCAAGUUAACUAUCAAGUUGUUUGAAGAAGGAUUUGGUUUGCUGGAACAUUUGCUGGCACUGCGGCGGUACUAUUUUAUGGAGUUAGCAGACUGGGCAGAUUUGUUUAUCAAGUCACUUUGGCAUCAUAAGUGGUGUGUCACUGAGGCAGAUCAAAGACUUUCAGAAAUUCAAGGUUUCCUUGAGGUUUCAGUUCAGAGGUCUUCAUGUGAGCGAGACCGUUAUAAGGAUAGGUUAUUUGUGUACAUGAAAGAACAUGGGACUAUGCCUCUUUCAACAUCUACCGUUGGAGUGCAUUCCUUCAAUUUUUUAGGUUUGGGUUAUCGCGUGGAUUGGCCAGUCAGCAUUGUUGUGACUCCGGAUGCAUUGCAAAUAUAUGCUAAAAUAUUCAGUUUUUUGAUACAAGUGAAGCUUGCUGUAUUUUCAUUAACUGAUGUAUGGUGCUCAUUGAAGGAUUUGGUGCACUUGAUUAGUCAGAAUCGUACUUCUGAACAUCAUGAAAAAGAAGUGGGCCAUUUUAAUAUAUUGAUGAAGUUAAGGCAUCAGGUCAAUCACUUUAUAUCUACGUUACAGCAAUAUGUGGAGUCACAAUUAUCUCAUGUAUCAUGGUGCAGGUUUCUUCACUCCCUUCACAAUAAGGUCAAAGAUAUGUUGGAUCUUGAGUCAGUGCAUAUGGCUUAUCUAAUGGAUUCAUUACACAUAUGUUUCCUCUCUGAUGAAGCACGGAAUGUAGCGAGUAUAAUUGAAAACAUUUUGCAAUGUGCACUAGACUUCCGUUCUUGUCUUACUGGAAGAAUAUGGGAUAUUGGGAUGGAUCAAGGAGAUGUGUGGGGUAAAUUUUCUAGAAUCAAUAUAUCCCAGGUGCUUUCCAUUAAGCGGACAUUCGACAAGAAUCUGACCGAAUUGCGUUUUUGCUAUCUGAAGUCUCCUAAACAUGGGGAGUUUGGUCUUUCCCGUUUUUGGGCAAAUCUCAAUUACAACGAGUAUUACUCAUAUGUUGGUAAUGAAAUGGGGCAUUACGCUCUCUCAGUGUAAACCUAUCCGUCAUGUCAUGCCGAUUGUGACGAGCAGAGGAUCGGGAUGUACGCGUGGUAUGAGCCAGUGCUUCAGAGUUCGUUAUUAGAGGUGUGCAUUCUCUAGGCAGAGUAUACUUUCAAAAUAUCAAGGAAGGAGAAACGACAGUGUUGCUUGAAACAGGAAACAGCGCGGGAAUGAGGAACGACAGUGUUGCUUGACUGCAGUAUUAUGAUCGGAAGCAUAAUAUUUUGGAGUGCCUCGCAUUGUUUGUCCAGCUUAAGUGAAACACUGCUUUCUAAGGGCCGGCUGAUAUAUAUCAACUUCUUUUUGAAUCUGCAGAAUCUGAAUACAUGCUAAAAUGGACCCUCUGUUUUCAGCUACAGAGGUCUUCCAAGACUCCCAUGGCAGGUUAGUUUAUGUCUUGUGUAUUGGGUCUAUCAUUUUGGAAUUUGUUUUUGUUUUUGAAACCGAAAUAGAUUUCUUUUUGAAAUGGUAUUGUGUGAAAGAAUUAGUUUGGUUUGUGAAAGGGGGGCGUAUUUGUUUUUGUUAGGAAAAAAAAUUAUGAGCUGAAUCUGAGUUUAUGCAAAGAUUCAAUGGGCUAUACAAAUUUCAGUAUUGGGUUAUCGGUUUUUAGUUUUGUCAAGAGGCUUCUAUUGAUAGUUUAUCAUCCCACUU